rnacentral:rRNA from 1 species
UACGGGGGGAGCAAGCGUUGUUCGGAUUUACUGGGCGUAAAGGGCGCGUAGGCGGUUUGUUAAGUCCGCUGUGAAAGCCCUGGGCUCAACCUGGGAAUUGCAGUGGAUACUGGCAAGCUAGAGUGCGGUAGAGGAUGGUGGAAUUCCCGGUGUAGCGGUGAAAUGCGUAGAGAUCGGGAGGAACACCCGUGGCGAAGGCGGCCAUCUGGACCAGCACUGACGCUGAGGCACGAAAGCGUGGGGAGCAAACAGG